GACGAACGCUGGCGGCGUGCCUAAUACAUGCCAGUUGAGCGCUGAAGGUUGGUACUUGUACCAACUGGAUGAGCAGCGAACGGGUGAGUAACGCGUGGGGAAUCUGCCUUUGAGCGGGGGACAACAUUUGGAAACGAAUGCUAAUACCGCAUAAAAACUUUAAACACAAGUUUUAAGUUUGAAAGAUGCAAUUGCAUCACUCAAAGAUGAUCCCGCGUUGUAUUAGCUAGUUGGUGAGGUAAAGGCUCACCAAGGCGAUGAUACAUAGCCGACCUGAGAGGGUGAUCGGCCACAUUGGGACUGAGACACGGCCCAAACUCCUACGGGAGGCAGCAGUAGGGAAUCUUCGGCAAUGGACGAAAGUCUGACCGAGCAACGCCGCGUGAGUGAAGAAGGUCUUCGGAUCGUAAAACUCUGUUGGUAGAGAAGAACGUUGGUGAGAGUGGAAAGCUCAUCAAGUGACGGUAACUACCCAGAAAGGGACGGCUAACUACGUG
rnacentral:rRNA from 1 species